UACGUAGGGGGCAAGCGUUGUCCGGAUUUAUUGGGCGUAAAGAGCGUGUAGGCGGCUUUACAGGUCCGUUGUGAAAACUCGAGGCUCAACCUCGAGACGCCGGUGGAAACCGUAAGGCUAGAGUCCGGAAGAGGAGAGUGGAAUUCCUGGUGUAGCGGUGAAAUGCGCAGAUAUCGUAAGGAAGACCAGUGGCGAAGGCGGGUCUCUGGACAGUUCCUGACACUGAGACACGAAGGCCAGGGGAGCAAACGGG
rnacentral:rRNA from 1 species